UCAGUCUCGUCUCGGACUCGACCGCAGUUGGUCUCGGUCUUGUCUCGGGCGCUGAAGACUCGGAAUUUUAUUUCAAGACCAGUCAAGACCGCAACUGUGAAAAUAUCACUAAACUUACAGCAUACUGUCCAGUUUAUUUGUUAACAUGUUUGUUUUCACUGGAUGCAAAACGCACCA